CGCAUCUGUGCAUGCAGCAUAUCAAUAAGCGGAGGAAAAGAAACUAACAAGGAUUCCCCUAGUAACGGCGAGUGAAGCGGGAAGAGCUCAAAUUUGAAAUCUUAAAGGGUUUCCCUUUACGAAUUGUAGUUUAAAGAAGUGUUUUCUGUUGAGGUUUUGGUAAAAGUUCUUUGGAAUAGGACAUCAUAGAGGGUGAGAAUCCCGUAUUUGACCUUUACUUUCAACUUUGUGAUACACUUUCAAAGAGUCGGAUUGUUUGGGAAUGCAGUCCCAAAAUGGGUGGUAAAUUUCAUCUAAAGCUAAAUAUUGGCGAGAGACCGAUAGCGAACAAGUACCGUGAGGGAAAGAUGAAAAGAACUUUGAAAAGAGAGUUAAACAGUACGUGAAAUUGUCAAAAGGGAAGCGUUUGACACCAGUGUUGUUUUUCUGAAAAUCAAUUAAAGAACUGUCUAUGCUAAGUUGUUUAGACUUUAUCAGCUAAUCUGUUUAGUUUUGAGCUUUUCUUUAAUGCACUUUUCAGUUAACAAGUCAACAUCAAUUUCUUUUGCUGUAAAAAAGCUUGAGGAAGGUGGCUUGAGAUUCGUCUUAAGUGUUUAUAGCCUCUUGCCUAUGCAGUCGGAGAGAUUGAGGUCUGCAGCGUAGAUCCUUCGGGGCUAAAUGCAUUUGUGCUAAGUUAUAGCAUUUCAUAGACAACUUGUUGACUAUGAUUUGUCUUGUAGCUUACUCGCUUAUGUUAUUUUACCUACGCUUAGGAUGUUGACAGCAGUAUAGACUGU
rnacentral:rRNA from 1 species